GACGAACGCUGGCGGCGUGCUUAACACAUGCAAGUCGAACGGAAAGGCCCUGCUUUUGUGGGGUGCUCGAGUGGCGAACGGGUGAGUAACACGUGAGUAACCUGCCCUUGACUUUGGGAUAACUUCAGGAAACUGGGGCUAAUACCGGAUAGGAGCUCCUGCUGCAUGGUGGGGGUUGGAAAGUUUCGGCGGUUGGGGAUGGACUAGCGGCUUAUCAGCUUGUUGGUGGGGUAGUGGCUUACCAAGGCUUUGACGGGUAGCCGGCCUGAGAGGGUAACCGGCCACAAUGGGACUAAGAUACGGACCAGACGCCUACGGGAGGCAGCAGUGGGGAAUAUUGCACAGUGGGCGGAAGCCUGAUGCAGCAACGCCGCGUGCGUGAUGACGGCUUUCGGGUUGUAAACCGCUUUCGCCUGUGACGAAGCGUGAGUGACGGUAAUGGGUAAAGAAGCACCGGCUAACUACGUG
rnacentral:rRNA from 1 species